rnacentral:rRNA from 1 species
ACUCCUGCGGGAGGCAGCAGUGGGGAAUAUUGCACAAUGGGCGCAAGCCUGAUGCAGCCAUGCCGCGUGUAUGAAGAAGGCCUUCGGGUUGUAAAGUACUUUCAGCGGGGAGGAAGGCGAUAAGGUUAAUAACCUUGUCGAUUGACGUUACCCGCAGAAGAAGCACCGGCUAACUCCGUGCCAGCAGCCGCGGUAAUACGGAGGGUGCAAGCGUUAAUCGGAAUUACUGGGCGUAAAGCGCACGCAGGCGGUCUGUCAAGUCGGAUGUGAAAUCCCCGGGCUCAACCUGGGAACUGCAUUCGAAACUGGCAGGCUAGAGUCUUGUAGAGGGGGGUAGAAUUCCAGGUGUAGCGGUGAAAUGCGUAGAGAUCUGGAGGAAUACCGGUGGCGAAGGCGGCCCCCUGGACAAAGACUGACGCUCAGGUGCGAAAGCGUGGGGAGCAAACAGGAUUAGAAACCCGAGUAGUCCCAUGAU